rnacentral:rRNA from 1 species
ACCUGGAAACAGAUGCUAAUACCGCAUAACAACUUGGACCGCAUGGUCCGAGUUUGAAAGAUGGCUUCGGCUAUCACUUUUGGAUGGUCCCGCGGCGUAUUAGCUAGAUGGUGGGGUAACGGCUCACCAUGGCAAUGAUACGUAGCCGACCUGAGAGGGUAAUCGGCCACAUUGGGACUGAGACACGGCCCAAACUCCUACGGGAGGCAGCAGUAGGGAAUCUUCCACAAUGGACGAAAGUCUGAUGGAGCAACGCCGCGUGAGUGAAGAAGGGUUUCGGCUCGUAAAACUCUGUUGUUAAAGAAGAACAUAUCUGAGAGUAACUGUUCAGGUAUUGACGGUAUUUAACCAGAAAGCCACGGCUAACUACGUGCCAGCAGCCGCGGUAAUACGUAGGUGGCAAGCGUUGUCCGGAUUUAUUGGGCGUAAAGCGAGCGCAGGCGGUUUUUUAAGUCUGAUGUGAAAGCCUUCGGCUCAACCGAAGAAGUGCAUCGGAAACUGGGAAACUUGAGUGCAGAAGAGGACAGUGGAACUCCAUGUGUAGCGGUGAAAUGCGUAGAUAUAUGGAAGAACACCAGUGGCGAAGGCGGCUGUCUGGUCUGUAACUGACGCUGAGGCUCGAAAGUAUGGGUAGCAAACAGGAUUAGAUACCCUGGUAGUCCAUACCGUAAACGAUGAAUGCUAAGUGUUGGAGGGUUUCCGCCCUUCAGUGCUGCAGCUAACGCAUUAAGCAUUCCGCCUGGGGAGUACGGCCGCAAGGCUGAAACUCAAAGGAAUUGACGGGGGCCCGCACAAGCGGUGGAGCAUGUGGUUUAAUUCGAAGCUACGCGAAGAACCUUACCAGGUCUUGACAUACUAUGCAAAUCUAAGAGAUUAGACGUUCCCUUCGGGGACAUGGAUACAGGUGGUGCAUGGUUGUCGUCAGCUCGUGUCGUGAGAUGUUGGGUUAAGUCCCGCAACGAGCGCAACCCUUAUUAUCAGUUGCCAGCAUUAAGUUGGGCACUCUGGUGAGACUGCCGGUGACAAACCGGAGGAAGGUGGGGAUGACGUCAAAUCAUCAUGCCCCUUAUGACCUGGGCUACACACGUGCUACAAUGGAUGGUACAACGAGUUGCGAACUCGCGAGAGUAAGCUAAUCUCUUAAAGCCAUUCUCAGUUCGGAUUGUAGGCUGCAACUCGCCUACAUGAAGUCGGAAUCGCUAGUAAUCGCGGAUCAGCAUGCCGCGGUGAAUACGUUCCCGGGCCUUGUACACACCGCCCGUCACACCAUGAGAGUUUGUAACACCCAAAGUCGGUGGGGUAACCUUUUAGGAACCAGCCGCCUAAGGUGGGACAGAUGAUUAGGGUGAAGUCGUAACAAGGUAGCCGUAGGAGAACCUGCGGCUG